UUUUUAAUUUCAGUCACUCCUGGCUGUGAAUUUAUCUGUGGCAACUAUUUACUGGUUGAAAAUGGGAAGCAAUAAUAUUCAUCUGACCAGUUUUCUCUUAAAGCCAUUUCCAUGAUGAUGAUGAUGGGACUCAAUUAUAUUUUUUAUUUCAGUCACUCCUGAUAAAUAACAAAUUUGGAGAACUAAAAAUAUCU